rnacentral:rRNA from 1 species
AGAGUUUGAUCAUGGCUCAGGAUGAACGCUGGCGGCGUGGAUAAGGCAUGCAAGUCGAGUGGGUUUAGACCCACGGCGAACGAGGUAGUAACACGUAGGAACGCACCCCAAAGUCGGGCAUAACCAGUCGAAAGACUGGAUAAUUCCCGAUAUCUCUUCGGAGGAAAGAUUUAUCGCUUUGGGAGCGGCCUGCGGAAUAUCAGCUAGUUGGUAGUGUAAUGGACUACCAAGGCUAUGACGUUUAGGGGAGGUGAGAGCCUGACCCCCACCGAUGGUACUGCGACACGGACCAUACACCUACGGGUGGCUGCAGUCGAGAAUCUUCCACAAUGGACGAAAGUCUGAUGGAGCGACGCCGCGUGAUUGAUGAAGUCCUUCGGGAUGUAAAGAUCUUUUAUGAGGGAGAAAGUCAUUGAUAGUACCUCAUGAAUAAGGGGUUGCUAAACUCGUGCCAGCAGCAGCGGUAAUACGAGUGCCCCGAGCGUUAUCCGGAAUUAUUGGGCGUAAAGGGUGCGGAAGGCGGCGAUAUUAGUCUUUUGUUAAAGCUCCCGGCUUAACCGGGAAAUCGCAAAAGAAACGGUAUUGCUUGAGAGUGUGAGAGGUAUGCGGAACUCAUGGUGUAGGGGUGAAAUCCGUUGAUAUCAUGGGGAACACCAAAGGCGAAGGCAGCAUACUGGCACAUUUCUGACGCUCAAGCACGAAAGCGUGGGUAGCGAAUGGGAUUAGAUACCCCAGUAGUCCACGCCCUAAACGAUGUUCUCUAGUCUUUUGGAGUAUCGACCCUCUGAGAGGCGUAGCUAACGCGUUAAGAGAACCGCCUGGGAAGUACGGCCGCAAGGCUAAAACUCAAAGGAAUAGACGGGGACUUGCACAAGCGGUGGAUCAGGUGGCUUAAUUCGACGGUAAACGAAGAACCUCACCAGGGUUUGAAACUCAUAGGAAAGACUUAGGAAACUAGGUAACUCCGCAAGGACCUAUGGGCAGGUGAUGCAUGGCCGUCGUCAGUUCGUGGUUUGAAUUGUUCCCUUCAGUGGGGUAACGAACGCAACCCUCGUUGCCUGUUAUAUAUGUCAGGCGAGACUGCCCAGCCCGAAGCGCGCGAAAGUUCGCGCGAGUCAAAAAGUGUAAAGUUUUAAAGUCUAAAGUGCUUAGUGUACUUUUUGCUUUAUGACUUUCUGCUUUAUGACUUGCCCGAAAUUCGCUUCGCGAAUUUCGGGCUGGGAGGAAGGCGAGGAUGACGCCAGGUCAGCAUGUCCCUCUGAUACCCUGGGCUGCACACUUGAUACAAUGGUCACGACAACGGGUCGCGACGGGGUAACCCUGAGCCAAUCCUAAUAAACGUGGCCUCAGUUCGGAUUGAGGGCUGAAACUCGACCUCAUGAAGCUGGAAUCGCUAGUAAUCGCGGGUCAGCUAUACCGCGGUGAAUACGUUCUCAAGUCUUGUACUCACCGCCCGUCAACUCAAGGGAGUCGGGAGUACCCGAAGCCCCUGCUUGCAGGGUCUAAGGUAAGCUCGAUGACAGGGAGUAAGUCGUAACAAGGUAACC